rnacentral:rRNA from 1 species
UACAGAGGUCCCAAGCGUUGUUCGGAUUCACUGGGCGUAAAGGGUGCGUAGGUGGUGAGGUAAGUCGGAUGUGAAAUCUCCGAGCUCAACUCGGAAACUGCAUUGGAAACUACCUUGCUCGAGGGUUGGAGGGGGGACUGGAAUGCUUGGUGUAGCAGUGAAAUGCGUAGAGAUCGGAAAGAACACCAACGGCGAAAGCACUCUGCUGGGCCGACACUGACACUGAGAGACGAAAGCUAGGGGAGCGAAUGGG